rnacentral:ncRNA from 1 species
AGGAAGAAGCCUAGAUGUUCUUAGAACUCUGCUGAUGACCAAGCCAUUUCCGACACGGACGGCGGAAAAGCAGUAAUGCAGACACGGAUGGCUGCUUUACUGCGGUGGCGUAUUUUGCAUAUAAUUAUUCAGAGUUCUUAGAACAUCUUAGCUUCGUAC